CAGGCCUAACACAUGCAAGUCGAACGCCCCGCAAGGGGAGUGGCAGACGGGUGAGUAACACGUGGGAACGUACCCUUUGGUUCGGAACAACCCUGGGAAACUAGGGCUAAUACCGGAUACGCGCGAGAGCGGAAAGGUUUACCGCCGAAGGAUCGGCCCGCGUCUGAUUAGCUAGUUGGCGAGGUAACGGCUCACCAAGGCGACGAUCAGUAGCUGGUCUGAGAGGAUGAUCAGCCACAUUGGGACUGAGACACGGCCCAAACUCCUACGGGAGGCAGCAGUGGGGAAUAUUGGACAAUGGGCGCAAGCCUGAUCCAGCCAUGCCGCGUGAGUGAUGAAGGCCUUAGGGUUGUAAAGCUCUUUUACCCGGGAUGAUAAUGACAGUACCGGGAGAAUAAGCUCCGGCUAACUCCGUGCCAGCAGCCGCGGUAAU
rnacentral:rRNA from 1 species